rnacentral:rRNA from 1 species
AAUAGAUACCCUGGUAGUCCACGCUGUAAACGGUGGGUACUAGGUGUGGGGUCCAUUCCACGGGUUCCGCGCCGUAGCUAACGCUUUAAGUACCCCGCCUGGGGAGUACGGCCGCAAGGCUAAAACUCAAAGGAAUUGACGGGGCCCCGCACAAGCGGCGGAGCAUGCGGAUUAAUUCGAUGCAACGCGUAGAACCUUACCUGGGUUUGACAUGGAUCGGGAGUGCUCAGAGAUGGGUGUGCCUCUUUUGGGGUCGGUUCACAGGUGGUGCAUGGCUGUCGUCAGCUCGUGUCGUGAGAUGUUGGGUUAAGUCCCGCAACGAGCGCAACCCUUGUCCACUGUUGCCAGCACGUUAUGGUGGGGACUCAGUGGAGACCGCCGGGGUCAACUCGGAGGAAGGUGGGGAUGACGUCAAGUCAUCAUGCCCCUUAUGUCCAGGGCUUCACGCAUGCUACAAUGGCUGGUACAGAGAGUGGCGAGCCUGUGAGGGUGAGCGAAUCUCGGAAAGCCGGUCUCAGUUCGGAUUGGGGUCUGCUAACG